rnacentral:rRNA from 1 species
UUUUUCUUUUUGCAUUAGAGGAAAGUAAUAGUCGUAAUCAAGGUUUCCGUAGGUUGAACCUGCGGAAGGAUCAUUAAUUGUAUGAACGGGGGCCGGCGAGGGAUUGCGCACUUCGGUGCGCCUUUCUUCCCCGCCCUGUCUGAUACUACCCAUGUCUUUUGCGUACCAAUUGUUUCCUCGGUGGGCUUGCCCGCCGGUUGGACACUAUAAAACCUUUUGUAAUUGCAGUCAGCGUCAGAAAAACAUAAUAAUUACAACUUUCAACAACGGAUCUCUUGGUUCUGGCAUCGAUGAAGAACGCAGCGAAAUGCGAUAAGUAGUGUGAAUUGCAGAAUUCAGUGAAUCAUCGAAUCUUUGAACGCACAUUGCGCCCCUUGGUAUUCCAUGGGGCAUGCCUGUUCGAGCGUCAUUUGUACCCUCAAGCUCUGCUUGGUGUUGGGUGUUUGUCCCGCUUUGCGCGUGGACUCGCCUUAAAGCAAUUGGCAGCCGGCAAUCUGGUUAUAGAGCGCAGCACAUUUUGCGCUUCUUGCCAUGGAUGUCGGCAUCCAUCAAGUACAUUUUUUUGCUCUGACCUCGGAUCAGGUAGGGAUACACGCUGAACUUAAGCAUAUCAAUAAGAGAGAAGGGA